AGCACGGGCUGCCUCUUCUUAGAAAAGGAGAAAUAAGUGAGGUCCUUCGUUUUGCAAAUGACCAUACUCGAAGCACGACUUCACUGGUUUAAUUUUUACGAAUUUGUAUUUGAAAUAGGUCCCUGUGCCUGCGUAUUAGGCCAUUUUUAUUGGGACAUUGGCACUCCUGGUUCUCAGGCCUUCAAACUUGGACUGAAUCACAGACCACAAGCUUUCUAAGGUCUCCAUCAGCAGACAGCAGAUGUGAAACUUUUAGCCUCCACCCACAUCAAAAUUACAACUAAACUAUAGAGAAACCAUCCUUGAGAACCACCGGAAGUCUAACUGAACAGAAGUCCUAGAACUAAGGAUACACAGAAGAAGUCAUGCUGAGACUAGUACGAGGGGCAGAGACACG